rfam:Bacillus sp. OV166 genome assembly, contig: Ga0115450_11
UAAUUGGUGAAAGUCCAAUCUGAGUAAGUACCAAGGCGCUCAGUAGCUGACAGGCAACUGGUGAAGAAAUUCUAAGGUUGAAGCCCUGUGACAAAGUAACUCUCUAGCAGAGUGCGAGCAAACUAACAGGUUGUAACAUAA